rnacentral:rRNA from 1 species
CAAUAGCGUAUAUUAAAGUUGUUGCAGUUAAAAAGCUCGUAGUUGGAUUUCUGCUGAGGACGAUCGGUCCGCCCACUGGGUGAGUAUCUGGCUCGGCCUUGGCAUCUUCUUGGAGAACGUUGCUGCACUUGACUGUGUGGCGCGGUAUCCAGGACUUUUACUUUGAGGAAAUUAGAGUGUUUCAAGCAGGCGCACGCCUUGAAUACAUUAGCAUGGAAUAAUGAGAUAGGACCUUGGUUCUAUUUUGUUGGUUUCUAGAGCUGAGGUAAUGAUUAAUAGGGAUAGUUGGGGGCAUUCGUAUUUAACUGUCAGAGGUGAAAUUCUUGGAUUUGUUAAAGAUGGACUACUGCGAAAGCAUUUGCCAAGGAUGUUUUCAUUGAC